rnacentral:lncRNA from 1 species
AUGUUCUCUCACUUCCUCUAUGUGUCUGUCUUGGCCCUCGGUAGAAAGGGCUUCUGUCUACAUUGUAGCCACUGCCUAUUCCAGCAGCUGGAGGCUUCUGCUGCUGCCCUCACCAGUCAAACUGAUGCCUCACAAACUGAUGCCUGUUUCUUUACAUUGCUGACUUCCAAGUCAAGAUCUCGCAAGGAUGGAGUCUCGUUCUGUUGCCCAGGCUGGAGUGCAGCAGUGUGAUCUUGGCUGACUGCAACCUCCGCCUCCCAAGCUCAAGUGAUUCUCCUGCCUCAGCCUCCUGAGUAACUGGGACUACAGGUGAGCACCACCACAUCUGGCUAAUUUUUUGUAUUUUUACUAGAGAUGGGGUUUCUCCAUGUUGACCAGGCUGGUCUCGAACUCCUGACCUCAGGUGAUCCACCCACCUUGGCCUCCCAAAGUGCUGGGACAACAGGCGUGGGUCACCACACCCAACCUGAUGUAUAUACUUCUAAAUGUAGAUCUGUUGAUAGAGACUGUUAUACAGAUAUUCAUCCACAGUAAAAUUUUAAAUUAGCAAGGGAUCCAGCUAUAUAUAUUAUCACUUGUUUGUUUCACUUCUAUAUUAUAACAUAAACAUAUUUUCAUGCUGUAAUGAUCCUUUUACAGGUUGUGCAGAUGAUUGUGUGAUAGGUGGGCUUCAUUAUUUACUUGCAACUUACUUAUCUCAUACUCUCAUAUUAGCUGGAGAUGUAGGAAUUAGAAUCCUGAGUGCAACUCUUCCUGCCAUCUUUCGGUGCCGCCACUAUGGUGUGCAUGAAUGUCCUGGCUGAUGUUCUCAAGAGCAUCAGUGCUGCCAAAAAGAGAGGCAAACACCAAGUUCUUACUAGGACAUGCUCUCAAGUUGUUGUCCAGUUUCUAACUGUGAUGACGAAGCAUGGCUACAUUGUGAAUUUGAAAUCCUUGAGGAUCACAGAGCUGGGAAAAUUGUUGUCAACCUCACAGGCAGGUUAAACAAAUGUGAAGCGAUUAGUUCCAGAUUUGAUGUGCAACUCAAAGAUCUAGAAAAAUGACUAAUAAUCUGCUCCCAUCCUGCCAGUUUGGUUUCCUUGUACUGAUAACCUUAGCUGGUAUCAUGGGCCAUGAAGAAGCAAGACGAUAACACACAGGAGAGAAAAUCCUGGAAUUUUUUCUAGAGAUGUAAUAUAACUUGUUGUUGUUGUUGUUGUUGUUGUUGUUUUAAGACAGAGUCUCACUCUGUUACCCAGGCUGAAGUGCAGUAGCAUGGUCUCAGCUCACUGCAGCCUUGACCUCCCAGGCUCAAGCGAUCCCCCUGCCUCAGCCUCCUGAGUAACUGGGACUACAGGCAGGCAUUACCUCUCCCAGGUAAUUUUUGUAUUUUUAGUAGAGAUGAGGUCUCCCACGUUGCCCAGGCUGGUCUUGAACUCCUGAAGUCCAGCAGUCUGCCUGCCUCAGCCUCCUAGUGUGUUGGAAUUACAGGCAUAAGCCAUUGUGUCCAGCCAGCAUACAAUACACAUUUAUAAAUAAAAUGCCUCAGUGGAAAAAAAAAAUUCUGAGCACAGCUCUCCACCAGUGCCAAAACUUAUCUUGCAGAGUUCAGUCUCAUGACUGGAAAGAAA